GCAUGAAUAAAAUAGUGUAUGGAGGGGAACCGCCUGAACUGAAACAUCUAAGUAGGGCGAGGAAAAGAAAUCAACCGAGAUUCCGCAAGUAGUGGCGAGCGAAAGCGGAAGAGGCCAAACCAGGAGUAGAAAUACUUCUGGGGUUUAGGACUGCAUAAUCAAGAACAAACAUAGCUGAAUACGAUGGGAAGCGUAUCCGAAGAAGGUGAGAGACCUGUAAGCGAAAUGUGAGUUUAAGAGGCAGGAUCCAGAGUACUGCGGGACACGAGGAAUCCCGUGGGAAGAUGGGGGGACCACCCUCCAAGCCUAAAAACUACCCAAUGACCGAUAGCGAAGAGUACUGUGAAGGAAAGGUGAAAAGCACCCCGGGAGGGGAGUGAAAGAGAACCUGAAACCCUGUGCCUACAAGCACAUAGAGCACGUUAAAGUGUGAUAUGGUACCUAUUGUAGAAUGGUCCGGCGAGUAUAUGUAUGUAGCGAGGUUAAGGACUAAAGGUCUGUAGCCGAAGCGAGAGCGAGUCUGAAUAGGGCGACAUAGUUACAUGUAUAUGACCCGAAACCGGGUGACCUAUCCAUGUCCAGGUUGAAGUCGCGGUAAAACGUGAUGGAGGACCGAACCGACCCCCGUUGAAAAGGUGGCGGAUGAGGUGUGGAUAGCGGAGAAAUUCCAAUCGAACCCGGAUAUAGCUGGUUCUCCCCGAAAUAGCUUUAGGGCUAGCCUUGCGUAAUGAUAGUCGGAGGUAAAGCACUGAAUGGGCUAGGGGCCGAGAGGUUACUGAACCCUAUCAAACUAAGAAUGCCGAAAUAUCAGUAGCAGGAGUCAGACAGUGUGAGAUAAGUCUCAUUGUCAAAAGGAAAAGAGUCCAGACCCACAGCUAAGGUCCCAAAAUAGGUUUAAGUGGAGAAGGAUGUGGAACUGCAAAAACAACCAGGAUGUUGGCUCAGAAGCAGCCAUACAUUUAAAGAGUGCGUAAUAGCUCACUGGUCGAGUGGUUCUGCGCCGAAAAUUAAACGGGGCUAAAAUCUAUACCGAAGCUUGGGAAUUACACGUAAGUGUAAUUGGUAGGGGAGCGUCGUAUACAGGGAGAAGUCAGAGCGAAAGCACUGGUGGACAGUAUACGAGAGAGAAUGCCGGAAUGAGUAGCGAGAAUUAUGUGAGAAUCAUAAUGGCCGAAAGUCUAAGGAUUUAGGAGGAAGGUUCGUCCGCUCCUAGUAAGCCGGGAGCUAAGGUGAGGCCGAAAGGCGUAGCCGAUGCACAUACGGUAGAAAUUCCGUAGCCUCCAAAGGAUUUAAGAUAACUGACACUUACAAAGGGUGUAAGCCAGGCGAUGGUAGACCUGGUCGAAAGGGACCGAAAAUAGUAGGGAAGUACACUUAGAGUGAGGCGAGAAAAGGUUAUUGGUAUAUCCGCGGAGCCCGUACCGCAAACCGACACAGGUAGACAGGAAGAGGAUUCUAAGGCCAACGGGAGAAGGGUUGUUAAGGAACUCGGCAAGUUGACCCCGUAACUUCGGAAUAAGGGGUGCUUAUGAGAAUAAGUCGCAGAGAAUAGGCCCAGGCGACUGUUUAGCAAAAACACAGGUCUCUGCUAAAUCGAAAGAUGACGUAUAGGGGCUGACACCUGCCCGGUGCUGGAAGGUUAAGAGGAGAUGUGCAAGCAUUGAAUUGAAGCCCCAGUAAACGGCGGCCGUAACUAUAACGGUCCUAAGGUAGCGAAAUUCCUUGUCAGGUAAGUUCUGACCCGCACGA
rnacentral:rRNA from 1 species